UCGGACAAGGUCAAAGUUCAUGUAACCCAGGUUUAAAUUAGACUAUAUUAAAAUAAUAGAGGAUCCAUUUAAAAUAAAAUAUACGAUACGUCGUCCUAGUCAUGUGACUUUUUACCUUUCACCUUUGCUCUCUAUACGUCUCUCUCAUCAUGUGACUGUUAAACCUUUGCUCUCGCUCAGCUGUGGCCGACCAAUCACAUUGCUCGCUCAGCUGUAGCUGACCAAUCACGUCGCUCGCUCGGCCUGUGCUGCUUGAUACAAGCUACCCGGCGCUGGUUGCCCUUCAGUAGCGUGUUGGGGAAACACGCUGGAUAGCUGCCACAGUCCUCGACUACCGCGGGAGUAGGAGCCGGUUGGCCGCGGUAUAUGUCGGGAUUGUCAAGGGAAUUGGCCAGGUCCCCUUGCAUCCUGUUGGGAUAAUCCCCAGAUGGGGAGCUAAGUUACCUGGAGUCCCAGAACCUCGGUCUACACCUUCUGCUGGUACUGGUAGGAGGCUGUGGCAGCCUUUAUCCACCCCCCACGUUUACUCACACCCACUCACUCGCACACUCGAGGCCUGAGGCCUAUGGCCUAUGGCCCAUGGGCAUUGGAUAACUUGUGGGUGGGACCUUCAAGGACUCUUUGAAUUAUACCCGGUCAGAAUGAACUGAACAACCUGUCUGGACCGAACUGUGCAGUCCUAAAUCCAUCCGUGCGUGACUAGAUCCCAAACUGGUUUCCCCAUCGUGGGCUGAGCUGUUUUUUUGUUUUUGAUUAUUAUUUUGUAAAUACUCCACUCAAGUGCACUUAAACA